CACUGCCGAGAAAAGCCUCUAGAUAGAAAAUAGGUGCCCGUACCGCAAACCGACACAGGUAGUCAAGAUGAGAAUUCUAAGGUGAGCGAGCGAACUCUCGUUAAGGAACUCGGCAAAAUGACCCCGUAACUUCGGGAGAAGGGGUGCUCUUUAGGGUUAACGCCCAGAAGAGCCGCAGUGAAUAGGCCCAAGCGACUGUUUAUCAAAAACACAGGUCUCUGCUAAACCGUAAGGUGAUGUAUAGGGGCUGACGCCUGCCCGGUGCUGGAAGGUUAAGAGGAGUGGUUAGCUUCUGCGAAGCUACGAAUCGAAGCCCCAGUAAACGGCGGCCGUAACUAUAACGGUCCUAAGGUAGCGAAAUUCCUUGUCGGGUAAGUUCCGACCCGCACGAAAGGCGUAACGAUUUGGGCACUGUCUCAACGAGAGACUCGGUGAAAUCAUAGUACCUGUGAAGAUGCAGGUUACCCGCGACAGGACGGAAAGACCCCGUGGAGCUUUACUGUAGCCUGAUAUUGAAAUUCGGCACAGCUUGUACAGGAUAGGUAGGAGCCUUUGAAACGUGAGCGCUAGCUUACGUGGAGGCGCUGGUGGGAUACUACCCUAGCUGUGUUGG
rnacentral:rRNA from 1 species